AUUGAACGCUGGCGGCGUGCCUAACACAUGCAAGUCGAGCGGUAACAGGUGUAGCAAUACAUGCUGACGAGCGGCGGACGGGUGAGUAACGCUUGGGAAUCUGCCUAUUAGUGGGGGACAACCCGGGGAAACUCGGGCUAAUACCGCAUACGCUCUACGGAGGAAAGCCGGGGACCGCAAGGCCUGGCGCUAAUAGAUGAGCCCAAGUCGGAUUAGCUAGUUGGUAGGGUAAUGGCCUACCAAGGCUACGAUCCGUAACUGGUCUGAGAGGACGACCAGUCACACCGGAACUGAGACACGGUCCGGACUCCUA
rnacentral:rRNA from 1 species